rnacentral:rRNA from 1 species
UACGGGGGGGGCAAGCGUUGUUCGGAAUUACUGGGCGUAAAGCGCACGUAGGCGGAUAUUUAAGUCAGGGGUGAAAUCCCAGAGCUCAACUCUGGAACUGCCUUUGAUACUGGGUAUCUGGAGUAUGGAAGAGGUGAGUGGAAUUCCGAGUGUAGAGGUGAAAUUCGUAGAUAUUCGGAGGAACACCAGUGGCGAAGGCGGCUCACUGGUCCAUUACUGACGCUGAGGUGCGAAAGCGUGGGGAGCAAACAGG